rnacentral:misc_RNA from 1 species
GGUCUAUGCAAGUAAGCUCUCAUCAAAAGCUUUAAGGAAAGCUCUUUGUUUUUUGAAAGGGUGCUUUUAUGAGAUAGAGCUUUUUUAGAUAAUGCUGGGGAAGGUUUUCCGGUUUAUCUCGGAGGGCUUGUAGCUCAGUUGGUUAGAGCGCGCGCU